rnacentral:lncRNA from 1 species
UUUUUCACAAAACCUAUUCUAUUCUCAAAGUCAUGAUAGUCAAAAAAACUGAAAAAGAUGCUUGAAAGAACAGAUUCCCCCUUUUUUGUGUAAAUUCUGUUUUACAGAGAAUCAUGUAUUUGUUUUAUUUAAAAGGGACUAGAUAAAAAACUCAGACAGCCAGAAAACCCUAGAAGUAAUCAAAUUUUACUCUAAUUUUGAGGCUUACAAUCUGCUAGAAAUAUAAAUAAAAAUGGAAACAACAUCGGCCAUACCUGAAAAAAUUUAACACUAUGCAUAUAUAAUCCACAAAUUUCUUUUCAAGUAAAAUACUACAC